AACGAACGCUGGCGGCAUGCCUAACACAUGCAAGUCGAACGAAACCUUCGGGUCUAGUGGCGCACGGGUGCGUAACGCGUGGGAACCUGCCCUUAGGUUCGGAAUAACUCCCCGAAAGGGGUGCUAAUACCGGAUAAUGUCUUCGGACCAAAGAUUUAUCGCCUUUGGAUGGGCCCGCGUUGGAUUAGCUAGUUGGUAGGGUAAAAGCCUACCAAGGCGACGAUCCAUAGCUGGUCUGAGAGGAUGAUCAGCCACACUGGGACUGAGACACGGCCCAGACUCCUACGGGAGGCAGCAGUGGGGAAUAUUGGACAAUGGGCGAAAGCCUGAUCCAGCAAUGUCGCGUGAGUGAUGAAGGCCUUAGGGUUGUAAAGCUCUUUUACCCGGGAUGAUAAUGACAGUACCGGGAGAAUAAGCUCCGGCUAACUCCGUG
rnacentral:rRNA from 1 species